AGGUUACUGCUAUCGGUGUUCGCCUAAGCCAUGCGAGUCAUAUGUUCGUAAGAACAUGGCGUACUGCUCAGUAACACGUGGAUAACCUGCCCUUGGGUCCGGCAUAACCCCGGGAAACUGGGGAUAAUUCCGGAUAACGCACAUAUGCUGGAAUGCUUUUUGCGUAAAAUGGAUUCGUCUGCCCAAGGAUGGGUCUGCGGCCUAUCAGGUAGUAGUGGGUGUAAUGUACCUACUAGCCUACGACGGGUACGGGUUGUGAGAGCAAGAGCCCGGAGAUGGAUUCUGAGACAUGAAUCCAGGCCCUACGGGGCGCAGCAGGCGCGAAAACUUUACAAUGCGGGAAACCGUGAUAAGGGGACACCGAGUGCCAGCAUCCUAUGCUGGCUGUCCGGGUGUGUAAAAUACACCUGUUAGCAAGGGCCGGGCAAGACCGGUGCCAGCCGCCGCGGUAACACCGGCGGCCCGAGUGGUGAUCGUGAUUAUUGGGUCUAAAGGGUCCGUAGCCGGUUUGGUCAGUCCCCCGGGAAAUCUGACAGCUUAACUGUUAGGCUUUCGGAGGAUACUGCCAGACUUGGAACCGGGAGAGGUAAGAGGUACUACAGGGGUAGGAGUGAAAUCUUGUAAUCCCUGUGGGACCACCUGUGGCGAAGGCGUCUUACCAGAACGGGUUCGACGGUGAGGGACGAAAGCUGGGGGCACGAACCGGAUUAGAUACCCGGGUAGUCCCAGCCGUAAACGAUGCUCGCUAGGUGUCAGGCAUGGCGCGACCGUGUCUGGUGCCGCAGGGAAGCCGUGAAGCGAGCCACCUGGGAAGCACGGCCGCAAGGCUGAAACUUAA
rnacentral:rRNA from 1 species